CCCUUAGAUGUUCUGGGCCGCACGCGCGCUACAAUGAUGAAUUCAACGAGUUUAUAACCUUGGUUGAAAAACCUGGGUAAUCUUUUGAACUUUCGUCGUGAUGGGGCUAGACCCUUGCAAUUAUUGGUCUCCAACGAGGAAUUCCUAGUAAACGCAAGUCAUCAGCUUGCAUUGAUUACGUCCCUGCCCUUUGUACACACCGCCCGUCGCACCUACCGAUUGAAUGGUCCGGUGAAAUCUUCGGACUGUGACUUUGAUCUGUUAACUCAAAACGCUGUUAUGGGAAGUUGAUUAAACCUUACCAUUUAGAGGAAGGUGAAGUCGUAACA
rnacentral:rRNA from 1 species